ensembl:lncRNA
CGGGGGAAACAUCACAUUAUGUGCCGCCAUAUGCCUUCGAGGGCUUCUGCACCAUCAUGCAAUACUAGGUCCAUACAAUAGCCAACACAUACUCACAUUUCUAGAUGCUCUCCAUGAUAUAGUUGUACAGAACAGACCAGAUCAGCCCAGGUUUGUGGUGAUAUGGGAUAAUGUCAGUUUCCAUCGGGCUGCUCUGGUCCAGGCCUGGUUCUCCAACCAAAGUCAACUUGAAGUGGCAAUGGAACAGGCCUGCGGCGACAUUCAGGUGACAGCAAUCCAUGGAUGGUUUUGACAUGGAAGAGGAUAUUUUCCCCGGUGCCCAGCGGGAGAAGACAUUGCUUGCGAUGUUGAUGAGAUCCUGUGGCCAGACCCCAACAGACGGCGGGAUCCAUGAGCCCACGUAUGCACAAUUGUCAUGAUUUUUUGUUUACAGUAUAGUGUUUUUUCUAUUACUGUAUUAUGGGGGUUUUUUUGUUUUGGUUUUUUUUGCUUUAUCUGAAUUCAUGGUACUGCAAUGUACAAUAUUGAGUAGGUCUAUUUGCUUUUUUGGUUGUUUGCAAAUGUGUCUCCUGAAAAUAUGCCUUCUGAAUGAACAAUGGAAAUCAAAGACUGCAGUGCUUUAUAUAAA